AAAAAAAGGGGGAAAAAAAAAAGGAACAUCUGUUAUCUUUUCAGAGAUCACCAAAUUCAGACUUGUAAGUGCCAGGUGUUAAAAAAAACAGAAAUACAUAAACUUAAGUUGCCACACUGUAUUCAAAGCUUAAUGCCUCAUAUUUUUAUACCUUUUUGUAGUAGCAUUUUUCUUGUUUUACAAACUGUGCUGCUUAUUUCCUAGUGCAAAUUUGUAAAAUAAAAUAUUUUUAAAUUUCUGAAGUACCAAAGAAACCUGUCCACAAAGAAAAAAUACCUCCUUCUCCACCAAAAGAAGAAGCUUCACAUCGUAAAGGUACAAAACAUUUUAAGUGGGAUUUGAAGAAUAAGAGAUCUAUUUUCAUAUAUCAAUCUUUAACAGUUUUGAGAAUAUUUUAUGUACCACAACCUGGAAUUUAGUUAGCAGCCACAGUAUGAACCUGAAUAAAAAAUAAAUAUCACCUGGAUUUGUGCUUUAGGGAAAAAAAAUUGUUAGCUUAGUUUUGCAGCAAAUGAAGGUAGGAACCCCCAAGGAAAAAAUAAUUAAAAAACCAGACAAAUUAAAAAAGUUAGAGAGGUCUGAUGAAGAAAGUAGAUCAGUUAAGGACAUGUCACAUGUCUUCUGGCAAUGUGCAGAGGUCUUAUCGUGGCACUAUAGAAAGUCAUAGUUGUUUUUUUUUUCCCCUUAUUCCAAAUACACCUGAUUUUUAGAGUAGAUGUAAGAUAGACCUGUGCAUAUUAAGAUGAGCUUGGAGAUUUGAUUUUCUUUGUCUUUCUUACUGUCUUGUCUGAAGAUGUAAUUCUAUGUUAACUUUAAAAUUAUACUAAUAUCUUUCAAGUACAUGAAGUUUAUGAGGAAAUAUAUGUAGAAGAAGAAAUUUCUACUGUUCAUAGAAAAGAGGAGGCUUCGCCACCUGGAGUGCCUGCAGUUGUGAAAAUUGCUCCUGAAGUGCCUAUUGCUGUGCCUAAAAAAACAGAACCUACUCCUGUGUCUAGAAAGCCAGGAUCACCAUCUAAAGUGCCUGAAGUGCCCACAAAAGUUAUUGCUGAAGAGAAGCCUGUCCCUCUGUCUAAAAAGCCAGAAGCUCCACCCACCAAAGUGCCAGAUGUGCCCAAGAAAAUUCCAGAAGAGAAAGUACCCAUCACUGUGCCGAAAAAACCAGAACCAACACCAGCCAAAGGUAUUUUUUAAUAUAUAGAACUAAAGUUUGGAAGAAAAGACCUCUAACAUGAUUGUUUCAAUUGGUUUCUGAUUGUUUUGUUGUGUUGUUCUACUAUAUUUAUUUUCUGUGGUCAUACUUCUAUGUGUGCUACUGCUUUGAAAAAUUCUUUUGAGUAUGAUUAAUGUACCAGUGAGUUAGGAAUAUUCAUAUAAUUGGGCAGUUAUGAGACUGAUUCUUGAGUACCGCUGCAGAAAUCUUUAAGGGAAAGCAGUGCUUCUGUAAUCUGAAAUACUGUUGACUAAAGUAAAAAAAAAAAAAAAUUAGCUCCAGAAGAAUGUUUAAGGACAUCAAAGUACAGAGUGAUAGAGAUGCCUAACACAAGGGAAAAAUCUAUAAUGAUACAGAGACAAAAUCAUCAUGCGUAGAAGAAUAUGACAAAGAAAGCAGAAUGGACAGUGGCAGCCUUAGUCAGAGAUUAGAGAUGCUGUUGACUUAAGUGGAAAAAUUAUUUUAUGCAGAAGAAUGCAUUUAAGUCUGCUACAUCCCCGAUCUCCAUUUGACUAAAGCUUCUAAAGGCUCUGAAAUGCUACCUCAGACUUUACAGGGACACUAAGUACUAACUUUAUUUUAGUAAAAAUGUGAUUCCAUGAAGGCUUUUCCUAAUUUGCAGUUUCUACUUGAAAGUUUUGUACAUAGCUGUAAAAUUCUAUAAAAUAUCUGAAAAUCAUCUCUUUCCUUAAAGAGCCUGAAGUGCCCAAGAAAAUAGAAGAGAAAAUCAAAGUUAUUGAGCCUAAAAAGCCAGAAGUACCACCAGCUAAAGGUACCUGACAUUAAUAAAUAUAUGAAAAUAAUUUUUUUCCUUUCACUGAUAAGAUCUUUUUGAUACUAUUUAUCCAUUUUUUCUACUUCAUAAAAUGUGGGUUUAUAUAUUUAAUUUUUGGGAACAGAUUCUUUUCCCCUUGAUACUUUCAAGUGUAUCCCAAUCAAGAUUGAGAGCAAAAGGCCUCUUUGGUAAAGGAUAUUAUCUCUGCUUCAUGCUCCUUGGUGUCCUUUUGUUUCUAUCUUUUU
rnacentral:lncRNA from 1 species